rnacentral:rRNA from 1 species
GAUGAACGCUGGCGGCGUGCCUAAUACAUGCAAGUCGAGCGAACGGACGAGAAGCUUGCUUCUCUGAUGUUAGCGGCGGACGGGUGAGUAACACGUGGAUAACCUACCUAUAAGACUGGGAUAACUUCGGGAAACCGGAGCUAAUACCGGAUAAUAUUUUGAACCGCAUGGUUCAAAAGUGAAAAGACGGUCUUGCUGUCACUUAUAGAUGGAUCCGCGCUGCAUUAGCUAGUUGGUAAGGUAACGGCUUACCAAGGCAACGAUGCAUAGCCGACCUGAGAGGGUGAUCGGCCACACUGGAACUGAGACACGGUCCAGACUCCUACGGGAGGCAGCAGUAGGGAAUCUUCCGCAAAGGGCGAAAGCCUGACGGAGCAACGCCGCGUGAGUGAUGAAGGUCUUCGGACCGUAAAACUCUGUUAUUAGGGAAGAACAUAUGUGUAAGUAACUGUGCACAUCUUGACGGUACCUAAUCAGAAAGCCACGGCUAACUACGUG